rnacentral:snRNA from 1 species
AUACUUACCUGGGGGGAGAUACCAUGAUGACGAAGGUAGCUUUCCCAGGGUGAGGCUCAUCCAUUGUACCCUGAUGUGCUGACCCUGGACUGCAUAAUUUGUGACCCUGGGGGACUUGAAUUAGGGCUUUCCCCUG